rnacentral:rRNA from 1 species
CAGCCGCCGCGGUAAUACGGAGGGUGCAAGCGUUAAUCGGAAUUACUGGGCGUAAAGCGCACGCAGGCGGUCUGACAAGUCAGAUGUGAAAUCCCCGGGCUUAACCUGGGAACUGCAUUUGAAACUGUCAGGCUGGAGUCUUGUAGAGGGGGGUAGAAUUCCAGGUGUAGCGGUGAAAUGCGUAGAGAUCUGGAGGAAUACCGGUGGCGAAGGCGGCCCCCUGGACAAAGACUGACGCUCAGGUGCGAAAGCGUGGGGAGCAAACAGGAUUAGAUACCCGGGUAGUCCCUGUCUCUUAUAA